UCCUGUUUUAUAAUCAAACGUUCUUGCACAGAUCUUGAAUUUUUAUCCAUUAUGUGGGUAAAUUUAUAAGAAGCAAGCCCAUUGUUUACAUAUUUUACAACGAUAAAUACAACGAUACUAAAACUGCCCUAUCCACUUGCAGGUAUAAAACUACAAUUAACACAGAAAACAGGCGGGACUAUUUUAUGAAUUUAUGCUAAUAUCCUCUAUUGGGCUAUUCCAUUUAAUAUCCGUACCCCCCCUGUCGAGGAUCCCUGGAAUUCUUCAGGGGUAAAGGGUUUUGAGCUUGGAAUUCUUCAGGGGUAAAGUGUUUUGAGCUUGGAAUUCUUCAGGGGUAAAGUGUUUUGAGCUUGGAAUUCUUCAGGGGUAAAGGGUUUUGAGCUUGGAAUUCUUCAGGGGGAAAGGGUUUUGAGCUUGGAAUUCUUCAGGGGUAAAGAGGUUUGACUUUGAUAUUUUUCAGAGCUUGGAAUUCUUCAGGGCUGAAGGGUUUUGAGCUUGGAAUUCUUCAGGGGUAAAAGGUUUUGAGCUUGGAAUUCUUCAGGGGUAAAAAAUUUUAAGCUUGGAAUUCUUCAGGGGUAAAGGGUUUUGAGCUUGGAAUUCUUCAGGGUUAAAGGAUUUUGAGCUUGGAAUUUUGGAAUUCUUCAGGGGUAAAUAGUUUUGAGCUUGGAAUUCUUCAGGGGCAAAGGAUUUUGAGCUUGGAAUUUUGGAAUUCUUCAGGGGUAAAGGGUUUUGAGCUUGGAAUUCUUCAGGGGUAUAACCACGAAAAACAUGUAUCCUCGACAGGGGGUGUACGGAUAUUAAAUGGAAUAGCCCAAUU